GGUAGACGCUACGGACUUAAAAUCCGUUGAUCGUAAAAGGUCGKGUGGGUUC
rnacentral:tRNA from 1 species